rnacentral:rRNA from 1 species
AUUGAACGCUGGCGGCAGGCCUAACACAUGCAAGUCGAGCGAGCGGCGGACGGGUGAGUAAUGUCUGGGAAACUGCCUGAUGGAGGGGGAUAACUACUGGAAACGGUAGCUAAUACCGCAUACCAUCAGAUGUGCCCAGCUGGGAUUAGCUAGUAGGUGGGGUAACGGCUCACCUAGGCGACGAUCCCUAGCUGGUCUGAGCGGAUGACCAGCCCAGCUGUAACUGAGACACGGUCCAGACUCCUACGGGAUGCAGCAGUGGGGAAUAUUGCACAAGGGGCGCAAGCCUGAUGCAGCCAUGCCGCGUGUAUGAAGAAGGCCUGCGGGUUGUAAAGUACUUUCAGCGGGGAGGCGUUACCCGCAGAAGAAGCACCGGCUAACUCCGUGCCAGCAGCCGCGGUAAAC